UGUGCGACAGAGAUAGCGCUCG
rnacentral:miRNA from 1 species